CCCUGGUAGUCCACGCUGUAAACGCUGUCGAUUUGGGGGUUGGGGUUUAACUCUGGCGCCCGUAGCUAACGUGAUAAAUCGACCGCCUGGGGAGUACGGCCGCAAGGUUAAAACUCAAAUGAAUUGACGGGGGCCCGCACAAGCGGUGGAGCAUGUGGUUUAAUUCGAUGCAACGCGAAGAACCUUACCUACUCUUGACAUCCUAAGAAGUUUGCAGAGAUGCGAAUGUGCCUUCGGGAACUUAGAGACAGGUGCUGCAUGGCUGUCGUCAGCUCGUGUUGUGAAAUGUUGGGUUAAGUCCCGCAACGAGCGCAACCCUUAUCCUUUGUUGCCAGCGAUACGGUCGGGAACUCAAGGAGACUGCCAGUGAUAAACUGGAGGAAGGUGGGGAUGACGUCAAGUCAUCAUGGCCCUUACGAGUAGGGCUACACACGUGCUACAAUGGCGUAUACAGAGGGAAGCGAAGCUGCGAGGUGGAGCGAAUCUCAUAAAGUACGUAAGUCCGGAUUGGAGUCUGCA
rnacentral:rRNA from 1 species